rnacentral:rRNA from 1 species
CAAGUCAGCACGUCCCUUACAUCUAGGGCCACACACAUCCUACAAUGGCAUCAACAACGGGUCGCAAUGGGGUAACCCGGAGCUAAUCCUUAUAAAUGGUGCCUCAGUUCAGAUUGCGGGCUGAAACUCGCCCGCAUGAAGUCGGAAUUGGUAGUAAUCGCAGAUCAGAUGGCUGCGGUGAAUACGUUCUCGCUCCUUGUACA